AUUCAUCAUGUCACAAUCAAGGUUUAUACGAAAGAAUCAAGUCAAGACAUGUUCAAGUGAAGGAAAUUGCCACAACCAUUCCAGCCUUCAGCAACCACUACCCUGAUCAGUCAGCAGCUAUCAACAUUGAAGCAAGACCCCCACCAACAAAAUGAUUACAACUCGUUGUAAUGAUGGCUAGCACAUUUUUAAG
rnacentral:lncRNA from 1 species